UCCUUAGUAACUGCGAGUGAAGAGGGAUGAGCUCAAAUUUGUAAUCUGNCAGUCUUUGAUUGUCCGAGUUGUAAUCUAGAGAAGUGCUACCCAGCGCUGGACCGUGUACAAGUCUCCUGGAAUGGAGCGUCAUAGAGGGUGAGAAUCCCGUCUCUGACACGGACUGCCAGUGUGUUGUGGUGUGCUCUCAAAGAGUCGAGUUGUUUGGGAUUGCAGCUCUAAAUGGGUGGUAAACUCCAUCUAAAGCUAAAUAUUGGCGAGAGACCGAUAGCGAACAAGUACCGUGAGGGAAAGAUGAAAAGAACUUUGGAAAGAGAGUUAAACAGUAUGUGAAAUUGUUGAAAGGGAAACAGUUGAAGUCAGUCUUGUCUGUCGGGGAUCAGCUCUGCUUUUUUGCUGAGUGCACUUCCUGACGUGACGGGUCAACAUCAGUUUUGAUCGCUAGAUAAAGGCGGAAGGGAAUGUGGCACCUCCGGGUGUGUUAUAGCUCUCUGUCAUAUGUAGUGGUUGGGACUGAGGACAGCAGUGUGCCGCAAGGCCAGGUCUCUGANCAUGUUCACACUGAGGAUGUUGGCAUAAUGGCUUUAAUUGACCCGUCUUGAAACACGGACCAAGGAGUCUAACAUGCAUGCGAGUGUUUGGGUGGCAAACUCGAGCGCGAAAUAAACGUGAAAAGUUGAGAACUCUGUAAUGGAGUGCAUCGACGCCCGGACCUGAGCUUUUAGCAAAGGAUCUGCGGNAGAGCAUGUGUGCUAGGACCCGAAAGAUGGUGAACUAUGC
rnacentral:rRNA from 1 species